AUUGAACGCUGGCAGCAGGCCUAACACAUGCAAGUCGAACUAGUGGCGUACGGGUGGCUAAUGUCUGGGAAACUGCCUGUUGGAGGGGGAUUAGUACUGGAAACGGUAGCUAAUAUCGCAUACCAUCAGAUCUGUCCAUAUGGUUUUGGCUUGUUGGUGGGGUAACGGCGCCCCAAGGCGACUAUACCUAGCUGGUCGGAGAGGAUGACCAGCCACACUGGAACUGAGACACGGUCCAGAGUGCUAGGGAAGGCAGCAGUGGGGAAUAUUGCACAAUGGGCGCAAGACUGAUGCAGCCAGGCCGCGUGUAUGAAGAAGGCCUUCGGGUUGUAAAGUAAUUUCAGCGGGGAGGCGGUACCAGCAGAAGAAGCACCGGCUAACUCCGUGCCAGCCGCCGCGGUAAUAC
rnacentral:rRNA from 1 species